UAAAGAGCUCGUAGGCGGCUUGGCAAGUCAGAUGUGAAACCCUCAGGCUCAACCUGGGGAUGCCAUCUGAUACUGCUAUGGCUAGAGUAUGGUAGGGGACUACGGAAUUCCUGGUGUAGCGGUGAAAUGCGCAAAUAUCAGGAGGAACACCAGUGGCAAAGGCGGUAGUCUGGGCCAUUACUGACGCUGAGGAGCGAAACCGUGGGGACCGAACAGGAUUAGAUACCCUGGUAGUCCACGCCGUAAACGUUGGGCACUAGGUGUGGGGUCUAUUUCGACGGACUCCGUGCCGUAGCUAACGCAUUAAGUGCCCCGCCUGGGGAGUACGGCCGCAAGGCUAA
rnacentral:rRNA from 1 species